rnacentral:lncRNA from 1 species
CUUGCUACUAACCAAAUUAGUAGUAGGUAUUUGGGAGAGAAAUUGGUUCAUCUAAUCUAUUUAAGAGAAAAGUUGACUUUAGAGUGAGGAUGUAAUCCCGAAAGUUUGUGUAUGAGUUGUGAAUUUUUAAAAUGUGAUCUUUAGGUGCUCAGGCGUUUCUGGUGGAGGUGCUAGAUGAGCUGAGUUGGCAGUUAAUUGGAACUUUCCUGUUGCAAAACCGAAAAUCUCAACACAGCGUUUCCUGAUGACCUGUUUCACUGUCUUAUUUGUCUCAUAGACUACGCACUACUUGCUCAGGUGGUGCACCAAUACUUUGCUAAGGAAAUUCAAUCUCCUAGUGCAGUUUCUAAGACAUAUUUAUUAAUUGAGGCUGACUCACCAUCCCAGAGUUGUAAUAUCAUUAAAGGCUGUCCAAUGACAUAAGUCUUGAAAAUGUUCCUUCAAUUAUUUGCACUAGUCCAUUUACCCUGCUCCUCUUGUCUCCUGGAGCUGCAAUCCUAGCUUAAUCCCAAAUUUGGACAUUCAUCUAUUUAUUCAUUCAUUCACUCAGUUCAAGCAUUUAAUAUUUAUUGGGUGUCAGCUCUUGUUGCUGUGCUAAACCCUCAGGGUACUAAGUUGAGUAAAACCUCAGAAUUCCAUAAUCGGUGGAGACCUUAGAGAUCAUCCAGUGAAAAGCAAGAAAAUCAGGAUAAAAUAUCUCAUCAUGCAUGAAAAAAUAGCUUCUCUGCUCAAGAGAGGUGAGAAGCCAAGAAUAACUCCAUGUGCCAAUUUCCCAGACUCUGAGAAUUUUAUAGGCUUAAAGUGCCACGGAGAUUCUGUUGUCGUUUAUGCUUUUUUUUUUCUAUUUGUAUUACAGUUAACAAGAUCAACCUUGCUGGGAAAUGAACAAGUGACCAGAAAAAAACUGGCAAUGAGAAUAGAAGAAUCGCAAACAAUGUAGCAGGCCCUUGCCAAGAUUUAAAUACAGAAGAAACAUUCAAAAGGACGGUAUCAAAUUAUCACAAAGAUGAAGAAAGUAAUGACUUACAUUCUCCAUCCUCUGGCUGGGUGACUCACCAAAGUGGAAAAUAAAGCACUUGGAGAUUACAGUUACUCCCAAAAAGAGGGGGAAAGGGAUGGUCUCUGGAGAAGCCAAUCCAGUUACAAGUUAACAUGCCACUGGAACAUCUGUGAUGGGAGGUGGCAGCUAAAUGCUUCGUGUCUCUUUGUGUUCUCCAGAAUCUUCAAGCAAGAAAGUCCAGUCCUGCCUCAGCAUUCUUCAUCUGGACCGCAGACGUGUUAAAAAGCACCUAAUGCGUGCAGGGUAUCAUGUGAGGAUAUGCAGGUGUAACUGUUGUGCACACACACACAGUUAGAACACAGAGUGAAAAUAGGUGUCCCUGACCACUCUACUUAAAAGGGCUGCUCUCUGUAGUCUCUAUUUAUUUUUGUAAUGGUCGUAUUGACAUACAACUCACACAUUAUACAAUCUAACCACUUCUAUUUUGUUAUAUUUAUGUGUUAACUUAUUUAAAAUACAGGCUCCAUGAAGAUAAAAACCAGGUGUCUUUUGUUCAUCAGUGGACACCCAGCAGCUAUCAUAAUGCACAAUGCAGCCACUCAGUAAUGAUGCGGAAUGGGGAAGGGAAGUGCUGGGAAGGGAAGGGCAUGGUCUCUUUAAAUGAUAGGGAAGCGGGGAAGGGCAUGGUUCAUAGCUAGGGCUCCACCCCCAGGCCUGUGCCCAUGGACCUAGGUGAAGACAGACAUUUUUGUUUUCCUGCCCCAGUGUUGCAUUUCCCAAGACCACCCUGGCCUGCCACGCCCCCAUCCUUUGCCUAUAAAAUCCCCGAGACCCUAGCAGGCAAACACACAGGCGGCUGGACGUGGAGAGGAGCAUUUCAGCGGAGGCACAUGUGGGUGGCUGGACAUCUAGAGGAGCUCUGACAGGCACUGGCACACCAGCAGGCCACUCACUGGCAGAACGGCCUGGAGUUCGGGGCAGUUGGAGGAGAGCCCUGGCGGCCAAGCAUCCUGACUCCAGGGAAAAACCAUCUCCCUUCUGGCUCCCCCAUCUGCUGAGAGCUACUUCCACUCAAUGAAGCCUUGCGCUCAUUCUCCAAGCCCACGUGUGAUCUGAUUCUUCCUGUACACCAAGUCAAGAACCCCGGGAUACAGAAAGCCCUCUCUCCUUAUGAUAAGGCAGGGGGCGUCUAAAUGAGCUAUCACAAGCCACCUACUGAUGGCUAAACUAAAAGAGCACCCUGUAAUGCAUGCCCGCUGUGGCUUCAGCUGUAAACAUUCACCCCUAGACACAGCCCUGGGGCUCCCUGCCGGUCUGUAUGCUCCCCUUAGAGGUUUGAGCAGCAGGGCACUGAAGAAGUGAGCCACACCCUCGUCACGUGCCCUACGAGGGGGACAAGGGAACUUUUGCCAUUUCAGUAACAAUAUAUUUUUAGUAAAUUCAUAAUUAAUGAAUAGACAAGAACACGAUGUCUAAGGCUCAGAAAUUGGCUUUAAUAAACCUCACGUUUUUGUGUUUUCCUCCAAAAUUAUAGGCAAUAUGUUUUAAAGAGAUGGGACCUUAGUGUGGAGCCCAGGCUGAACUCCAAGCCUUGGGCUCAUGGAAUCUUUCCACUUCCCGCAUAGCUGGGCCCACAGGCCCUUGCUGACAUGCCUGGCUAACAGGCCGUUUUAAAAAUCAAAAGGUAACAAACAAAGAAGAAAGUCCUGGCCAGGCCUGGUGGUUCACACCUGUAAUCCCAGUACUUUGGGAGGCCAAGGAGGGUGGAUCACUUGAGGUUGGGACCAGCCUGGGCAACAUGGCAAAACCCCGUCUCUACUAAAAAUACAAAAAUUAGCCAGGUGUGGUGGUGGGCGGCUGUAAUCCCAGCUACUCGGGAGGCUGAGGCAGGAGAAUCACUUGAACCUGGGAGACAGGGGUUGCAGUGAGCCAAGAUUGUGCCACUGCACUCCAGUCUGGGUGGCAGAGUAAGUGAGAUUCUGUGAAAAAAAAAAAAAAAAAAAGUCCUUAUUUGGUAGGCGUGAAACAGUAUGGACCUACUCAUUCUCUCAACCACUUCUCACUUUCUCACGUGCUACAGUUUGACCCCAAAUCUGAGCAGAGGGGACUUUGGUGGGAAAGCCUCCCACCCUCUUUGUAUGCUCAGGAAAGCGGAAGAGGUUAGAUCUUUGUCUCAGAAGGGGUUUGAUUUUCUGUACUUUUACUCUUCAUGGUUCAGUUUGAAUCAAUUCAACUCAGCAAGGAAUCCCUGAGUGAGGGUUAUGCUAAGGCCAUGAAGAAAACAAAAGUAUGAGAUGCCUCCUUGUCUUUCUAGCUUGCUAUCUCAGUGGGACAGCAAAACAUGUGUCCGAACUAGAGUUGAAGAAAAGGCAAUGAGACUUAGAGCCAAGCACUCAAAUCAGACUUGAUGCAGAAGGA